rnacentral:lncRNA from 1 species
UACUGACAGACAGUUUACUGCAGGUCUUUGUGAAAGACACAGUUAGCCAGCUACAACAAGUCAAAAAGGCUAGAAAUGAGAAAAUCCAGCUUAGCAAUCAGGAGUGUCUUGACCAAAAGAAAGUACUACCCCAAGACUCACCCCAAAAUAUUGAGGAACAGUCACUCAGUGUUCCAAGUUGCUUUUUAAGAGCUGAAUUGGAAGAUGAAAAAGAAGAGAUUUCUUCUCCAGACAUGUGUCCCAGACCUGUGAGUAUUUAUCUUGAGUCCGAUUACCUUCCUUUGAGGCCUACACUAGUUCUGUUUGGGGUGGACAUUCCCCAACCUGCUGCUUAUUAAAUACUGUUUUUACAUCCUCAGCUGUUUUUCUGUCUGAAGUAUAAUUGCCCUCUGUUAUGUCAUGAGUAGUCACCAUAGGGUUG